rnacentral:tRNA from 1 species
GGGCGUGUGGCUCAGUGGUAGAGCGUCCGCUUUGCACGCCUCAGAGCUAGAUUUGCGGAAGGUCCAGGUUUCGAUCACCUGCCCGUCCA